GAAAUUAUAAUCCGGCGAGACGAAGGAGGACGGUUGUCGCUGGCCUCUAUCCGAGGCAUGUGCACGCCAUCUUCUGGACUUUCGUCGUAUGGGCGCGGGGCGACCCGCGUCUUCAUAUACCUCUUCGUGUAGAAAGUCUUUGAAUGUUUUUACUAUCAUCGAGUCGCGACUUCUAGGAGACGCGAUUCUUUGAGACAAAAGUUAUUACGACUUUCAGCAAUGGAUCUCUUGGCUCU
rnacentral:misc_RNA from 1 species